rnacentral:tRNA from 1 species
AGCCCGGUAGUGUAGUGGUCAAAUCAAUACGAGACCAAGCAUAUGAGGUUCUGGCCCUCAUGACCCAGGUUCGAAUCCUGGCCGGGCUA